GUCUAGUAACUUUAAAAACAUCACAUAAAAUAUAUAAAAUAAAAUUUGUAAGCUAUCAUAUAUAAUGAAAGAGAGAGAAUGUAAUAAUAUAUGAAAAAUUGAAAGUCCAAAUGAUAAUCAAUUAAAGUCUUCUAUAUAAUAUGUGAACAAGAAAUUUAAUACAAGUGCCUAAAAGUAUAUAUAUAUACAAAAGAACCCUAUAUACAAGAGAUAAGUUGGGAAGUAAACACAUUUUGCAAAAAUAAUUGGUAAAGUAUGUACUUUUUUUAGAAAUUAGAGAUAGAGGUACUUUUCUCUCUCUUCUCUAAUAGAACUUCACCUCUAAUAGAGCUUUUAGUAAUAGACACUUUUACUCUUUUAUUGUGUAGUUGAUAUUAAUUGGGCCUUCACUAAAACCAACCCAAUAACAUUUUCAAUUUUUAAAUCAAUUGGACCAUCAUCCAUGAAGGGUUCUUAGCAAAAUUUUGAUUAAAAACUAAAUCAAAAUAUUGAAAAUAAUUUUGAUUAAAAGCUAAAUCAAAAUAUUUUCCUUAUUCUAAUGUACGUAUAUGGUGUACUAAUGUUGGCGUACGUAUGUGGUGUACUAAUGUUGGUGUACGUAUGUGGUGUACUUAUGCUAAUGUAGACAUUUGAGGUGUACUAACUCUGGUGUAUGCAUGUUGUUUCCCUUAUUCUAGUGUACGUAUAUAGUGUACUAAUGUUGGUGUACGUAUGUAGUGUACUAAUGUUGGUGUACAUAUGUGGUGUACUAAUGUUGGUGUACGUAUGUGGUGUACUUAUGCUAGUAUAGACACUUGAGGUGUAAAUUAUUUUAACUGGUCUACGAAAUAUUGUAUUUGGGCUUAGUAAAUAUUAUUUGACCCAUUAUUCCUAAAAUUUUGGACCCACACAAAAUUUUCCUUUUCACAACAAAAGGGUACAAUAGUAUUUGACUCAUAUUUUAGAUUUUAGUAGCAUAUUCUCUAUCUCAUAAGCUCUCUAUCUCACAAGCCCAACAAAAAGUACCCAUUCCUCCUAUUUCUAAAAAAAGUAUCUAGUUUCCAAGUAAUUUUGUAAAAAGUGUCUACUUCUCUAAUAAGCCCUAUAUACAAUGCAUGCAUUGACCAAAUUACAUCCCAAGUGGCCAAGUGCGCUUCCACUAUGCAUUUAUUAUUUAUGCACAAUAUUAUAUUUCAAAUCAUUCAUGAAUCGUUUACCGUCAACAUUACCGUCAUUAUUGAUGAAUGGUUGACUAACAAACACGAUACUCCUCCAUGUCUCAAGAUUUGAAUCUAUCCGAGAUGAUCCAAAGGUUAGAAGCAGAAGGACAAAAGAAUCCCGAUAGCCGAUUUAAGUGGGAUGAUGGAUCCGACCAUGAUGACGCAAAAAAUAUAUGUAAGAGGUGACUCUCAGGGCAUAAGAUGCAUCCGAUUUGACUAUAUCAAGAGUGGACAACCGAAAUAUAAUUCAUUCCAUGGUGCCUCGUGUGGAGGUUUCACCCAGACGGUAUAAUUUGGAUCUACUAACUAAACUCCCUUCAUUUUACUCUAUUGACAGCGAUUUGAAUUUGUUUCACCAAAUUAUGCAGUUUAAGAUUAACCAUAAAGAAGAUGAACAACUUGUAUCUGUUGAGGGUCAUUAUGAGCCAGACUCGAGUGCGAUUGUAGGACUUCAAAUUAAAACCAACUUGAGGAGUUCUAAACUGAUAGGACAUGGAAAAAAGGAUGAUACUAAGUUUUCAUUAGUUGUGGCCUGUGGACGGAAAGAAAAUCAUCGGGUUUCACGGAUAUUUCUUCAAUUUAAAGUCUUCUUACACCCUCUAAAUCUCAUAGUUUCUUAAUUAUUCAAACUGCCAAAGCCUAAACAAGACUUAACCACAAAACCAACUACAAUUAUGUUAUACCAAAGCGACAUCAGAUUCAAGCAAAACAAGAACUGGAUCACAUCCCUUCACUAAUUUGUAAUCAUGUGUUGUGGACGAUGACAAUCUCAUUCUCAAUAUCAACUGCGACUGAUUUAAAUAUUAUGCUAUUUAGUUUGGGAGAUUUGCAAAACUACCCUUUUUUUACUACUCUUUUGCAACAAUACCCUUUUAUGUUGUCCAUUUUUAUAAAUACCCUUUCCCUUGAACAGAAUGACCAAAUUACCCUCAUCUAAUAGGAACAUGUAAUUGGAAACUGAAAUUUUCCCGCCAAAAAAAAUAAUUUCCACCAAACUUUUUUUCCGCCAAAAAAAAAAAAAUUCCCGCCAAAUUUUUUUUCCUUAACAAAUUUUUUCUCAGCCAAAAAAAUGCUUUUAAAAAUCCUUGUAAAUUUUUUUGGCGGAAAAUAGAUUUACAAGGGAUUUUAAAAGGGAUUUAAAAGAUUUACAAGGAAUUUAAAAGAUUUACAAAGAAUUUUAAAAGAGUUUUAAAAGAUUUACAAGGGAUUUUAAAAAGUUUUAAAAAGAUUUACAAGAGUUUUUAAAGGGUCUUCUUGUAAAUUCUUUAAGAAACUCUUGUACAUCUUUUAAAACCCUUUUAAAAUCUCUUGUAAAUCUUUUAAAACCCUAUUAAAAUUCCUU
rnacentral:sRNA from 1 species